GGACCCAUAGCUCAGCGGUAGAGCAUCUGAUUCCAGUCCAGAAGGUCAUCCGUUCAAAUCGGGUUGGGUUCA